ACGCUGGCGGCAGGCCUAACACAUGCAAGUCGAGCGGAAACGACACUAACAAUCCUUCGGGUGCGUUAAUGGGCGUCGAGCGGCGGACGGGUGAGUAAUGCCUAGGAAAUUGCCUUGAUGUGGGGGAUAACCAUUGGAAACGAUGGCUAAUACCGCAUAAUGCCUACGGGCCAAAGAGGGGGACCUUCGGGCCUCCCGCGUCAAGAUAUGCCUAGGUGGGAUUAGCUAGUUGGUGAGGUAAUGGCUCACCAAGGCGACGAUCCCUAGCUGGUCUGAGAGGAUGAUCAGCCACACUGGAACUGAGACACGGUCCAGACUCCUACGGGAGGCAGCAGUGGGGAAUAUUGCACAAUGGGCGAAAGCCUGAUGCAGCCAUGCCGCGUGUAUGAAGAAGGCCUUCGGGUUGUAAAGUACUUUCAGUUGUGAGGAAGGGUGUGUAGUUAAUAGCUGCRYAUCUUGACGUUAGCAACAGAAGAAGCACCGGCUAACUCCGUGCCAGCAGCCGCGGUAAUACGGAGGGUGCGAGCGUUAAUCGGAAUUACUGGGCGUAAAGCGCAUGCAGGUGGUUCAUUAAGUCAGAUGUGAAAGCCCGGGGCUCAACCUCGGAACUGCAUUUGAAACUGGUGAACUAGAGUGCUGUAGAGGGGGGUAGAAUUUCAGGUGUAGCGGUGAAAUGCGUAGAGAUCUGAAGGAAUACCAGUGGCGAAGGCGGCCCCCUGGACA
rnacentral:rRNA from 1 species